GAUUAAAAAGCUUAAGAAAGCAAGUGUUUUGAAAACACAAAAAAGAAGUUAAAUUCUUCUAUUAUUUU
rnacentral:tRNA from 1 species